rnacentral:misc_RNA from 1 species
AACUUUGACACUUGUCAGCUGACAAACUCGCAAGAGUGACACAACCUAACCUACAUGCGAUAUAUUCAACAAAUGCACUAAAAAAUGGAAUUUAAAAUGGUUUUGCCUUUAAUCUGUAGUGUUUAGCAUAUAAAAUUUGAAUUAUUACUCCACUUUCCCGGCCCUUCAUUUUGUAUUUUGCUAUUUGCCAAAUUUUUUCUCCUCCAAAGUGAAGUGAAUCGCUGCAAAUUUCACACCAUACGACAUAACCUACUUAUUUUGACAAUAAAUAAAUUUCAAAAAUAAACUAUUUAUAUUUACAAAUUAAGGAUGUUUAAUUAAUUAAUUAACAAACAAUGGACACACAUGAAGAAUAUUAUCAGCAACUGCAAGUAAUCAAUCAGUUAUUGGAACAAACUCCGGAAGGUCAGGAGAAAAAUGAACUCAAAGGAUUAAAGGAAAACAUAGAGGAACUUCUGGCUUUAACAAAUCUAUCACCUUCUACUGACGAUGAACAGAAUAAUGCUGUUCAGCAAGAUAGAGAGGCUGAGAGCAUUCCAACGAAUGAGACUCUUGAUGAUGAAUAUGCACGGUUUAUGGCUGAAGUAUCUGAAGAAGGGAGAGUUGAUAUAUCCAACGCAACUGAAGACUCUCAAGUUUUAGAAACCACCAAUCCAAAUCAUAACAAUAAUUAUUUUAAAGACCUCGAAGGCAAGAAAUUUAGAGCUCCGCACCAUCAUCAUUGGGGACAGUUAACUUAUCAUAAUGCCAUGGUUUGUUCAGUCCCAGAUGAAAUUUCGAAUCCUGAUGAUUUACAGGUGAAAGUGUUGUUCUUAAACCCGACCCACACAGAAAUGUUACCCUGUCCGUAUUAUUUCGACUGUGAAAAAGAUUGUCGUUUCAGUGAUGAGCAAUGCAGAUUUUCACAUGGAGAGCUCGUUGCGUAUUCAAGCUUACAAGACUAUAUUGAACCAAAAUUUGAACACUUAAUCGUUGGAAGCGCCAUUCUGGCUAAACAGGCUGAUGAUCUGUGGUACAGAGCUAAAAUUACAAAGAUUUUAGAAGAAAAAUGUUUAGUUAGAUUUGAUUCAAAGAGUGUAAAUAACGAUGCAUCUGAGGAAAUUGCAUUCAAGCAUAUUCUCCCACUGGAAAACUAUGAAAAUGGCGACAGUGAUGAUGUGAUCGAAGAGAGUGAAGAUGAAGAGAAUUUGUUUGAAAAGGCUCAAACGCGCCAACAAAUAAUUGAUAGAAGUUUAAUGCAAACCCCAGGGCCAGCUCGAUUAGGUGAUUGGGAAAAAUAUACUAAGGGCAUUGGAUCCAGGCUGAUGCAAAAAAUGGGGUACAUAGUGGGUACGGGAUUGGGAAAGGAAGCAGAGGGAAUUGUAAACCCCGUUUCAAUCGUAAUAUUGCCUCAAGGAAAAUCACUUGAUUUCUGUAUGAACUUAAAAGAGGAGCGAAACAAUCCAGAAUUGUUUCAUGCCGAUCAGCAACGUGUGAAAUCGAGGAAGUUCGGCCAAAAUUCAGGUCGCCGACGAGUGAAAGCUAAAAUAAAUCCAGAAUUAUUGGAGCUAGAAGGUUAUAUUGAAUGGCAUUUUCAAAGUGGAAAGAAGGUAAUUGAAGAGAAAGAAAGUUCAGUGUUAAGGGAUAAAUUGAAAAUUGCUUUGGACAAAGCAGUCAACGUUGCAAGUUUUAUGUUGGAUGAACGGAUAAAAACGAUCACAUUGGAUCUGGAAGAGUUGAAAAUUCAAAUACGGCAGUUGGAAGAUAAACAUCAAGAACCCAAAUCUCUGUAUAAAAAGUUGUCAGGCAAGGAAACCGAUUUGAAGCGACUGAAUAUUUUUAGAAGAUUAGUUCAAAGUGAACUGGACAGACGAAAGAACAAUAAAGAAAUGGCCGUAUUUUAAGUAGAUAAUUGGCAGAACGAGUUGCGAUGGGCGACUAUUGGACCAGUACAAUUGAAAAAGAAGGUGCUCUUAGAUCGUUAUGGUUUAGAAAAAAUGAGGAAAGAUUAAACGAAAUAGCGAACAAAAUUCCAUCUAGAAAAGUUAAUGAAGACAUUAAAGAAAAAAUAAAGCAGGAGCGAAUUGCAACUUUCCAAAACAUCAAAAAAUUUCCUAGGAUUAAAACUGAAGAAGUGGUGCCCGUUUUUGAAGGAAACCUUCAAGACAUUAUGAAGCCCGUAGAUCCUGCAGUUAAGAAGUUGAUUUAUACAGGGAGCAAUCAAGAUGGUCGCGUCAAUUAUUUGCAUCAAAGAGUUAAAUUGUUACCGGAAGACAGGUUGCUAAUGGUACAGGAUAACAAUGUAACUCAAUAAUCGGUUUAGGUACUAUUUUCCAGAGUGCAAUAGUUGGGAGUAUGGCUGGAAAAUGUGGGAUGACGUGAAAAACAUUAAGAAAACUGGUUUUGGCCGACAACAAAUAAUUAAAGACUCGUUUUACAGAAGAAAAGGCGUGGAAAGGGAUCCUGAUUGGUAUAAGGAGCCGGCUCAUAUCAGCCCGACUUUUUGCAAUACUUGCCACUGAUCUGGUUUGUCGCAAAUAGAGGAAAACACAUCCUAACAUUCAACAGUAAAACAUUAUUAUGAUUAAUAUAAAUACGCGUUGAACA